AUUGGUGCAUUUACAAACCCUUAGCCACAAAAGUUCUCCAAGUCCCCACCCAUCCCAAAAGCCCAGCCGGCUUCACCUCUCACCGGCAUUCACCACAGGACUUUGCGGCACCUAGCCUGAACACUCCGACAGCCCAGAGGGAGCUUGUCCCAGACAAUCAAGAGGAAAAGACGGUAAGCCAUAAAGAGAUGGAGACCUGCUAUCCUGGCGAAGAGGGAAUGGUGGUCCACACACGGGAUUCAGCCUCGGAUCAAGCCCAGCAGGUUCUUGUAUCGGUUCGAACCCUGAGAGCAUGCCAACAGACAACACGAGGUGGUGUGGAGCAACAUGCUGUUUUAAUGAGCGCCUAGGUGCUGGCCGGCUGAGGCCUAAAAUGGUGUCAGCCCCAGGUGAGGACAGCGCAGAAGUUUUAUAGCCUCCUGUAAACAGGAAGUGUCCUAGUCUGAUGUAACUGCUACAUUGUACCCAGAUGGCCUCUUUCUCGGAUCUUCGGUGGUACAUGUCUUACGGCCAGGGUAAAUACUCCACUUUCCAGACAUUCUUCCUUCCUGUACCACCCGAGUGCAGUGCCAAUAUGGGAACUACAAUGAAAGAUUGGAGGGAAAGGAUAAAGUGGUUUAUUCAAGUCAGGCGAGAAGGCUAUUUCCUUGAUAGUGUUUAUCAAUAGAGUUCAUCAUUGUAUCACGAACUUUUAUAGAAAUUUCUUCACACUUUCGACCUUAAUCAUCACCAGUUUAUACUGAGGGAAAUAAAAAUAUUGAACCUCAAAAUAUAUUUUGGGAUAGCUGUCAGAGAGACAGCAAACAGAAGUAGCCUUGCAAAGCUUAGUUGGUAUUUAAGCUUUUGUGGGGGGAAUUUGCAGAGUAGGGAGGAGUAAAAGUAAAUGAGAGAAAAAUACUUAAGAAAGGACGUGAACAGAGGGAUUGAGCACAUAAUUUUAAAAAGGGUUUCAGUCAACUGAAAAAAAUGUUCAUAAUGGGAUCCAAAGAGAAAAAGCAGAAAAGAUAUACAUAUAUGUA
ensembl:lncRNA novel transcript